rnacentral:rRNA from 1 species
UACGUAGGAGGCAAGCGUUGUCCGGAAUUACUGGGCGUAAAGCGCGUGUAGGUGGUGGGACAAGUCUGCUGUGAAAGUGCCUGGCUUAACCGGGCGAGGUCGGCGGAAACUGUCCGACUCGAGGACGGUAGAGGGGGGUGGAAUUCCCGGUGUAGUGGUGAAAUGCGUAGAGAUCGGGAGGAACACCUGUGGCGAAGGCGGCCCCCUGGGCCGGCCCUGACACUGAGACGCGAAGGCGUGGGGAGCGAACGGGG